AAGCUAAAAAUGGGGUAUGCAGUUAUGCUUUUAAUUGUGUUUCUCUGUCAUGAAGUUUCUUCAAUAUCCAUAUUACCUCACAAACAUCAAAUCAUUUCCCUUCUAAAAUUCAAGCAGUCCUUUACUAUAGAUACCUCAGCAGUCAUUUAUAAUUGUCCGAAGCCUUAUCCAAAAACGAGUUCAUGGAACAUGAGCAGAGAUUGCUGCUCAUGGGAUGGAGUCGUAUGCGAUGACAUCACUGGCCAUGUCAUUGAACUUGACCUCGGCUGCAGCGGACUUGUUGGGACCAUUGAUUCCAAUAGUAGCUUAUUCCAACUCUCUCAUCUCCAAAGGCUUGAUCUUUCUUCAAAUAACUUCUCCAAUUCUCAAAUCUCCCCUGAAUUCGGCAAGUUUUCGAGCUUGAUGCAUCUUGAUCUUUCUAACUCCUAUUUCUCAGGUCAAAUUCCUUCUGAAAUCUCUCAUCUUUCCAAGUUACACUCUCUUAGUCUCUCUGGUACUGGUACUGGUAGUCUACGACUCGUAGCUCAUGAUUUUAAAUUGCUUCUUCAGAACUUGACUCAAUUAAGGGAGCUUGAUCUUACUUUCAUAAACAUCUCUUCCACCAUUCCUCUGAACUUUUCUUCUCAUUUAACAACUCUGGAUCUGGGAUUUGCAGGAUUGUAUGGGAUAAUACCUGAGAAUAUUUUUCACCUUUCCAACCUGGAAGCACUUUAUUUAGAAAACAAUGAUCAGCUCAGUGGUCAUUUUCCAAAGAUCAAAUGGAACAGUAGUGCAUCUCUCAUAGUGCUAGAUCUCCUUGGAGUGAAUUUUUCUGAUAAUUUGCCUGAGUAUAUUGGCUAUCUAACUUCACUGCGUUAUUUGUAUCUUCAGUCUUGCAACCUUAGAGGGCCUAUUCCUGAAUCUAUUUCUAAUCUCACCCGCAUAGAGCAUUUGUUCCUUCACGAUAACUCCCUGAAUGGAACAAUACCAUCAGGGGUGUUCUCCCUUCCAUCACUAACAUAUUUAAUCUUGGCUUCUAACCACUUUACUGGUCAGCUUGAGGAUUUCAAGUCCAAUUCACUAAUCUGGAUUCAUGUAGGAGGCAAUCAGCUACAGGGUCAUCUUCCCAACUCAAUUCAAAACCUUGUGAACCUAACAAAACUUGGUCUUUCUUUUAAUAAUUUUAGUGGUCGUGUGGAUGUCAGUUUCUUUUCAGACCUCAAACAGCUUUAUUAUCUUACUCUUUCAUAUAAUAAUAUCUCAUUGACCAAUGACAACAACGUUACUUUGCCCGAAUCUCUUACUGAGUUAGAAUUGGCCGCAUGUGAAGUGAAAGAGUUGGAGUUUCUAAGAUCCGCAAACCAGCUUCGGCAGUUGGAUCUUUCAAAUAAUAAGAUUCAAGGAAGAAUUCCUGAUUGGGCAUGGUCUAACUGGAUGUCUUCAUUGGACACUCUUAAUAUGUCCCACAAUAUGCUGACGAGUGUGGAUUCAAUUCCUCUUCAAUCUCUAUAUACUAUUGAUUUGCGGUCCAAUUUGCUUCAAGGUUCACUACCUAUUCCAUCAAAUUCCACAAGAUACUUCUUCAUAUCCCAUAAUAAUCUCACUGGAGAAAUUCCUUCAUCUAUUUGCAAUUUGACAUCACUGGUAAUGCUGGAUUUGGCGACAAACAGUUUGCGUGGAGAAAUUCCGCAGUGUUUUGGAAAUAUCACUUCCCUCCAGGUUUUGGAUAUGCGCCACAACAAUCUUUCUGGGAAUAUUCCAACAACUUUCAGCAAUGGAAGUUCACUGACAAGCCUCAACUUGCAUGGCAAUAGACUAGAGGGAACAAUUCCCCCAUCUUUGGCCCACUGCAAAGAGUUGCAGGUUCUUGAUUUAGGAGAUAAUCAUCUCAUUGGCACAUUCCCGAUGUGGUUGGGAACUCUACCAAAUCUGAAAGUAAUAAGCUUGCGAUUCAAUGAAUUGCAUGGUCCCAUCAGAGCAUUGAGGAUUGAGAACAUGUUUCCAGAGCUUCGAAUCAUAGAUCUCUCUUACAAUGCCUUCUCAGGAAACUUACAUUCGAGUUUGUUUCAACAUCUGAAAGCCAUGAGGACAAGUGAUCCAUCAAUGGAAGCAUCAAGCUAUGGUCGAGGCCGAUAUUACCAAGAUUCUAUUAGAGUUGCAACUAAGGGAUUUGAUCGUGAAAUUGUGAGAAUUUUGUAUUUGUACACCGUUAUCGAUCUUUCAAGUAAUAAAUUUGACGGGCAAAUUCCAAGUAUCGUGGGGGAUCUCAUUGCAGUUCGCAUAUUGAAUUUAUCUCAUAAUGGAUUGCAAGGUCAUAUACCGCAAUCAUUCGGAGAUUUAUCUUCAGUUGAAUCAUUGGACCUAUCAAGAAACCAGCUUUCGGGAGAGAUACCACAUCAACUGGCUUCUCUUACGUCUCUUUCAUUCUUAAAUCUCUCCCAUAAUCAUCUCCAAGGAUGCAUUCCUCAAGGACCUCAAUCUCAUACUUUUGAGAGAAAUUCAUUUGAAGGCAAUGAUGGAUUACGAGGAUUCCCUGUUUCAAGAAGUUGCACGGAUGAUCGGGUAUUAGAUACAAAUGAUACCGUAUCUGGACAGCUAGACGAUGAAGAAAGCAAUUCUGAAUUUCAGAGUGAUUUUUGGAAAGCAGCUCUUAUGGGCUAUGGAAGUGGACUAUGUAUUGGAAUAUCCAUAGUAUAUUUCAUGAUGUCAACUGGAAAACCGAUAUGGUUUGCAAGAAUCAUUGUAAAGCUGGAGCACAAAAUAAUGAUGGGAAGGAGAAAGAAGCAACGAAGGCAAAGGAACUACAGAAGAAGAAAUAAUCACUAGUAAUGUUACUGUUAUUUCUUUAAGGAAAAGAUGUAAUAAGUUGUAGACGUACUAUUGUUAAAUCCUGUUUGCUUAAAGUGUGUAGCAUCAUUCGACCAUGAAAAUUGAGGGUGAGAUAAUCUUUAAUGAUAAGUUAUAUGCAAUAUAAAAUCUUAUGAACCAUCCACAAUUAGUUCAUUGAAAUUCCAAAAUAAUAAACCACAAAAACCAAGAAUUUAUUCGAGGAAGAGAUCAGAAAUAUUUUGUUCCACGACAGAUAAUUAUUUUAUUCUUGUCCUCCAAAAGAUAUGUUGGUGGUGAAUUCGAUUCAAAAUCUAGUUAACUAUAUUUUCUUUUCAUUUUGCACAUUAAUCCUUUUGUGAACAUAAAAUCACUGAAAAGAAGGUGAAGAAAGGAGAAAAUGCAUUGCUGAUAAAACUUGAAACUAUUGUACAACAGAGAAGAGAGGUUAAAGGAAGUUUCAACGUUGAGCAGGUCUAUAAACAGUGGAAAUCUUAAAGCAGCCACACUGAGAAAGCUCUGGAAAGAUUUGAUUGUAAACACGGGGUGGUCACCUCUUCAGUGGCUUGUAGAGGACAACAGUGACAUAUUUCGACUGGAAUCUAUGCGUCAAACCAAGAGCAACGACGGAUUGAGAAGCCCAUCCUUUCUCUAUAAAGAGGUGAUUAAGUACUACGUGCUGGGGUUUUGGAGAAGAAGGUGCUUCUUCUGAGUUUUCAGAACCAAGAACAGUUAGAUGAAGUUGCGGUGGAACUGCCACUGGCUCCUUUGCAAAAUCCUCAUCUCCCAUCAAAGCUUGCGCAUAUCUAGGGUCAGGUGAUGGUGGGGCCUCAAAC